rnacentral:lncRNA from 1 species
CCCUUCUAACCGUCAUACCUUUUGAGUCUCGAUUCACCACUGCUAUUUCCGGUUGAGGUGCCAACCGGUUUUGGAUCAACAAAAGGCACGAUUUCCCAAUCUUCGCCUUGAGUAGAUUCCACGUUGUUAACACCAGUCGCACCAGUAGCUUGAAGGCCUGUUUCCACCUCCAAAUCUAUAGCAAAUUUUCAAAAAACACAUCCGACUCCAAAUUAGUUAAAUAAUUGAACGCGACAACUAACUAAAAUAGGUUUCGCAAAUGCAGUAAUAUUAUGAAACGAUACGUAACAAGUUGCAUGAAACAAUAAAAACACAUAAUAACAACAAUACCGUCAUCAUUUUUUCUCUCAUUUUCCACCAUAACAGAAACUUCAUCCUCAACCCUCUCAAUAUCUCCGCGUAGCAAUCCACGCUUUCAAUUGUCUCGUUCUCUAUUUCUUCGUUUCUCUCAGACAACAAAUCGUUGUCCUUCUUUUAGUACCUACGAUGCUCUUCUAUUAUCAUAUUAUACGUUUUUUACAUAUUCCUGUUUCUUUCCUUGAUUUUCUUUCCACAUUUCAUUAGAUAUCUUUGCACAAAAGAGUAGUGUUCUUCUUUAACAAUUCGUUUUUCCUUAAAGAUCUUCUGCGAUCGAUGUCCUCUUCGACGAAAAUGUGAUAAUAAUGAGAUUUUCUUGAUAUAGCGAAAAAGUGC